UACGUAGGGUGCGAGCGUUGUCCGGAUUUAUUGGGCGUAAAGAGCUUGUAGGCGGCUCGUCACGUCGGGUGUGAAAACUCGCGGCUCAACCGCGAGCCUGCACCCGAUACGGGCGGGCUAGAGUUCGGCAGGGGAGACUGGAAUUCCUGGUGUAGCGGUGGAAUGCGCAGAUAUCAGGAGGAACACCGGUGGCGAAGGCGGGUCUCUGGGCAGUAACUGACGCUGAGGAGCGAAAGCGUGGGGAGCGAACAGG
rnacentral:rRNA from 1 species